rnacentral:rRNA from 1 species
GCGUAGAGAUAGGGAGGAAUACCGGUGGGGAAGGCGGCCCGCUGGACAAAGAAUGACGCUCAGGUGCGAAAAGCGUGGGGAGCAAACAGGAUGAGAUACCCUGGUAGUCCACGCCGUAAACGAUGUCGAUUUGGAGGUUGUGCCCUUGAGGCGUGGCUUCCGGAGCUAACGCGUUAAAUCGACCGCCUGUGGAGUACGGCCGCAAGGUUAAAACUCAAAUGAAUUGACGGGGGCCCGCACAAGCGGUGGAGCAUGUGGUUUAAUUCGAUGCAACGCGAAGAACCUUGCCUGGUCUUGACAUCCACAGAACUUUCCAGAGAUGGAUUGGUGCCUUCGGGAACUGUGAGACAGGUGCUGCAUGGCUGUCGUCAGCUCGUGUUGUGAAAUGUUGGGUUAAGUCCCGCAACGAGCGCAACCCUUAUCCUUUGUUGCCAGCGGUUAGGCCGGGAACUCAAGGGAGACUGCCAGUGAUAAACUGGAGGAAGGUGGGGAUGACGUCAAGUCAUCAUGGCCCUUACGACCAGGGCUACACACGUGCUACAAUGGCGCAUACAAAGAGAAGCGACCUCGCGAGAGCAAGCGGACCUCAUAAAGUGCGUCGUAGUCCGGAUUGGAGUCUGCAACUCGACUCCAUGAAGUCGGAAUCGCUAGUAAUCGUAGAUCAGAAUGCUACGGUGAAUACGUUCCCGGGCCUUGUACACACCGCCCGUCACACCAUGGGAGUGGGUUGCAAAAGAAGUAGGUAGCUUAACCUUCGGGAGGGCGCUUACCACUUUGUGAUUCAUGACUGGGGUGAAGUCGUAACAAGGUAACC